rnacentral:rRNA from 1 species
AUUGAACGCUGGCGGCAUGCCUAACACAUGCAAGUCGAGCGGAGCGGUGGACGGGUGCGUAAUGCCUAGGAAUCUGCCUGGUACUGGUGGAUAACGUCCGGAAACGGGCGCUAAUACCGCAUACUAUCAGAUGAGCCUUGGUCGGUUUAGCUAGUUGGUGGGGUAAAGGCCUUACAAGGCGACGAGCCGUAACUGGUCUGAGAGGAUGAUCAGUCACACUGGAACUGAGACACGGUCCAGACUCCUACGGGAGGCAGCAGUGGGGAAUAUUGGACAAUGGGCGAAAGCCUGAUGCAGCAAUGCCGCGUGUGUGAAGAAGGUCUUCGGAUUGUAAAGUACUUUAAGUUGGGAGGCGUUACCAACAGAAUAAGCACCGGCUAACUUCGUGCCAGCAGCCGCGGUAAUUC